AUUGAACGCUGGCGGCAGGCCUAACACAUGCAAGUCGAACGGUAACAGGAAACAGCUUGCUGUUUCGCUGACGAGUGGCGGACGGGUGAGUAAUGUCUGGGAAACUGCCUGAUGGAGGGGGAUAACUACUGGAAACGGUAGCUAAUACCGCAUAACGUCGCAAGACCAAAGAGGGGGACCUUCGGGCCUCUUGCCAUCGGAUGUGCCCAGAUGGGAUUAGCUAGUAGGUGGGGUAACGGCUCACCUAGGCGACGAUCCCUAGCUGGUCUGAGAGGAUGACCAGCCACACUGGAACUGAGACACGGUCCAGACUCCUACGGGAGGCAGCAGUGGGGAAUAUUGCACAAUGGGCGCAAGCCUGAUGCAGCCAUGCCGCGUGUAUGAAGAAGGCCUUCGGGUUGUAAAGUACUUUCAGCGGGGAGGAAGGGAGUAAAGUUAAUACCUUUGCUCACUGACGUUACCCGCAGAAGAAGCACCGGCUAACUCCGUG
rnacentral:rRNA from 1 species